GGAAACUCCACCCAUAGCUCAGUGGUGGAGCAUCUGCUUUGCAGGCAGAAGGUCCCAGGUUCAACCCCCAACAUCUCCA
rnacentral:tRNA from 1 species